UUUUUUUUUUUUUCCUGCUUUUUAGGGCCACACCCAGGGCAUAUGGAAGUUCCCAGGCUAGGGGUCUAGUCGGAGCUACAGCUACAGGCCUAUGCCACAGCCACAAGCAACAGGAAUCUGAGCCAUGUCUGUGACCUUCACCACAGCUCACAGCAUUGCCAGAUCCUUAACCCACUGAGCGAGGCCAGGGAUCAAACCCACAUCCUCAUGGAUCCUAAUCAGGUUCGUUAAUGGCUGAACCACAAUGGGAACUCCAGGUUCUUCCUUCUGUUGAGGAAGAACUAACAUCUUAGGAUUGAUUUUAAUUUUAUGCUAAGUGGGGCAAAGGAAUGUUUAUCAGUUUGUUUUUACAGUAUACUAGUGAUUUUUACUUAUAGUAAGUCGAUACUUCUUUUUCAAAUAGGAUCGCAAGAGAAAAACUAUAGAAUUAAAGCUGCCUGUACUUUUGGAUUUGGGAUUUACUCUUUGAAUUUUAACUUAUUUCUAACUCUUAAGCAUUCUUAAUAUUUGCCUGCUGGCAGAGCCAUGCACUUUGUAUCAAACUGCCCACUUGCCCAGUGUAGGGGAAAAAAAGCCUUUGCGGGCGAUGAUACUGCCACAAUUCAAGAUGGAAUCAGAUUUAGUGACACUUAAGAUUUGGCCUGGACCAGAAUGCAAAAGCAGAAGUUUUACAGUUCACCAAACUGCCUCUGCAUUCACCCAGAAAAAAAUGUUCCAAAGUGUUCAAGCUAGCUUUUCAGAAAUAUUACAGUUGUAAAAUCUGUGACACCAGUAUUAAUUGUGCCAAGCAUGGGUUUUAUUUUUGUAAGUUGUUUACCUAUGCCAAUGUUUAAGUGUACGUUCUGUGCAAAAAGAUGUGGAUAAUAGUUCUCUUUAUAGAAAAAUCAAUGCACCCGAACAGUCAUAAAAUAUAACAGUGUGUACAUGUACAUGCAUUAUGCAAGUACAAAUAGAUCUACAUUGGGCCAGAUGUGAUCUAAUCAUUCUGGAAGUUCUGUUUAGGUAUAUGAUAUUAAAAAAUGCUUAACAGGCUUUUUUCCUCAGAGUGAAGCCGUACAUUUCACAAUACUCCCGGAAAAUUAUAUUUGACAUGUAAUUUUAAAAUGAAGUUACUCUAAUCUAAAGUAAUAGUGGAACAACAGGGAUAAGCACUGAAGCCUUUCAUAAGACAAAAUGGAUUUUAAAAUUCUAGAAAGUUUUAGUUACAAAUAAUUAGAAAUGCAAUUUAGAACAUUUAAAAUGUAUUUCUUUCAAUGGUUAAUUACAUUAGAACAGUUAUUAUUCUAAAUGGUGAUGAACUAAUAAAUUGUAAUAAUCAUCUCACUAAAAAUUGGAUUCCAAUGCUUUAAUAGGUAGUCUGUAUAUGACUAGAGAAGGCUCUUUUUCCAACUCUGGAAAUUUACUUCAGUAAAGUAUGGAUGCAUAUAGAUACAUGCACAUAACAAAUAAAUAUUACAUGUAUAUAUGAAUAUACACAUUUAAUUGUGGUCUUAUAUAUGGGACUCUAAAAGGAUUUUAGUUGUCAUGUAUGCUAUGUCUGUACAAAUUCAUGCAGUAAAGUGGAUUGUACUAGAAUACAUAUCACUUCUAAAAAUCAUCUCAGAUGUAUGAUAGCAUGGCUUGGGUCUAAGUAGGUCUCUUUGGAUAUAGGCUCCCUCCUCUUAACCUACAAAAGUUAUCACUCUUUCCACUAUUAGAAACAAAGAAAGGAAACAAAGAGAGAAAUGGAAAGGAGGAGAAAGGAGAGGAAAGGAAAAGGAUGCAAAACACAAGUGGAAAAGGAAGCAGAAAUGGAAAUGUACACGGGUAGGAGAGGGGCGGGGAAAUCCACCUUGUUCUUGAAGGUGUGAAAACUCACUUCCACCAGUACUCUGACCUCAGGGAAGAAGGACAAUCAUUAGGAAAAGAACAACCUAAGAUUUUGGUCACACCCAAUUUUGCCACCCUACCAAUAAUGUGAAUUAUUUUGUUUGUUUGGCCAUAUCUGGGGCAUGCAGAAGUUCCUGGGCUGGGGACCAAACCUGUGCCACUACAGUAACAGAGCUACAGCAAUGACAAUGCCAUAUCCUUAACCCACUGAGCCACAAGGGAACACCUAUUUUAUGUUUUAAAUCAAAGUCAAAAGCAAAUAGAUGGUGAUGAAAACAUGAUUGGGAAUUUGCUAUGAUUUUAAUGGAAUUUUAAUAAACAUUUAUUUUAUAUUUUUGGAGAUUAUUUUUCUCCUCAUAUAAGUCUGUACUCCAUACCCUUUCCCCCCAUGGGCACUCCUUACUCUUUGUUCCUCUCAUAGCACACAUACAUUUAUAUCAGUCAUGGACGCCACACAUUUAAGAUAGUAAUUAAAACAAAUUUAACUCACUCUACCUCAGAAAUGAUAAACAAUAACUUCAUGUAUCUUUUUCUUUGACCACAGCCUCCUAUGCUUCCAGCUCUUUCACAUAGUGACACCAAGUAUACCCAUUCUUCAGUUUAAAAGGCAUUUCUUAUUUCUGGACCCCUCUACUGUGUUUUUAGCUAUAUGUCCCUUCCUGUCCUAAUUUCUCUUCAUCUUCAGCCUAAAGCCCAGAGUGUAUCUGUUAUUUUCUUGCAGAUACCAGUGGUUGCCUAAUCCAACAACCAAUGCUAUUUACAUUGUCUCUCACCUUUAGAGUUUAGUAAACUGAAUAAAUAGCCUUUUUACCAGCAUCUUUUGCAUGGAGAAAUGUAACACAGGUCUUGCCAGUGAAAUGACAGUGAAAGUUUUCCUGAUAAAAUAAAUGAUAGAGCAGACAUUUUCCCUUUUUCCCAUUCUCUUUGCCUAGAAUGCCUGGAGUUGUGAAAUCUGUCUUGUGACCGUGAAGGAAAAGUGGAAAGAAUGAGACUCUAGCCUCAACACACUUGAGCCACUGAACUAAGGGGAGGAGCCACCUAGUUCCACAUUUGUUAUGUGAGAAUAAUAAAUGCUUAUUUGUUUAAACCACUCUAAAUUGGGUCAGGUGUUACUUUCAACCAAAAGCAUUCUUAUUUUCUCUUACUAAUACCUCAAUUCCCAUGAUCCAUUGUUCUUCUCCCUUCUCUCUUCAGGGUAAUCAUGCUAUGAGGAGUUCCUGAUCUCCUUGUUCUUACUGACAGCUCAAUUCAUACAAUUUUGGGGAAUUAUCACACCGGUAUAACUUGAACAAAGCCAAGCUCCCCACAGUUCCCUACUGGCAUGGAGCUGCAUACAAGUAAAAAUCAAUCCGAAUAAAACAUGAUUGAAAAACAAUGUAAAUAGUUACUGAAUUCUCUCUAAGGAUACCAAAGGAAGAUUCCAUUUAUUAUGUGCAAAAAAACUGAAAAAAAUUUCUUUCAAAUCUUUCUCAGACUCAACCUCUCACAACUCAAAUCAACAAAUGUUCCCUCCUCCAUUCUAAGAUCUAUCCUCUACGACUGAACAAAAAAAGCCAAUAAGUAGUUUUUUCCCUCUUCCUCAGCUCAUGUAAACUUGGUGGCUUAUUCUUCACUUUCUGUAUUACCUCUUUAUAAUGUGGCCAAACUUAGCCUAUCAUAUUUCAACUUUUCUAUUUACAUAUAUAAAAAAUGGCCUGAGAGGAGUUCCCUGGCGGUCUAGGGGUUAGGAUUCAGCACUUAUACCAGUGUGGUCUCAGUUCAAUCCCUGGCCUGGGAACUGGCAUGCCACGCUGCAUCCCCUCCCCCAGUGGCCUGAGAAGUUAUUAAACAAGCAAGAACUCCUUUUCCUUUGGAUGGUAGUGCUCGUGGAUUGCAAAAGCAUAUAUGUUACUUACUUCUUUAAUCCUUCACAUUUGUAUAUGUCUCCUCUUUCCAAAAUUUUCCUGAUACCAUAUUUCCACCCUCCCCCCUUGCUUUGUUUUGACCUCCAUUGUAUAUAUUAGUUCCACUAUAAAAACCCCUAUUAAAAAAAAAAAAAAAGCAAAAGUUCGCCAUUUUUAAAAUCCAAUUAGGCUUGAUAAAGACCAUGUGUCAUUUAAAGUCUUUUAAAAUGCUCAAGAGUCCUAUUCUGAGACUUUACACAAUUUCAACUAACUUUGGCAUCCUCUUCUAAUUAAAUCUGUUUUUCCUCGAGUACCACCAUUCCAGGUCAAAAUAUAAAAUUCUCUUAUCCAAUGGUAGUGCUCUUGUUUUAAGACUGUAUCACAAAAGUGUUUGCUUCUGUUCCCUGAAAAUGUAUGUGAUUUUGUUGACAUUAUUGGUAUCCUGGGAGAGCCCAACCACCAUUUAUAACAUUGCUUCUGUGGGAAAAUGCUUUCUGGAUUCCAAAUGACUGACAUCCAAACAAAGUUUUCCCACUUGAGUAAUCAGGAUUCGAACAAUAAUAUGCCCUACAUCUGUCUACAAGCCAUUUAUGAAAAGGGUACUGCCUUUAUUUGAAAAACACAUGUUAGUAUGUUGCUCUUAAUCAGGGAAAAAGAAAUAUUAAGAUGAUGAGGUUUCAUGCCUGGAUUUUUCUUCCUAGUUUUCAAUUACAUUCCUCCGAUCUAUCAGAUUAGACUCAUGUAAAUCCUAAAGAAUAUUCUGUCACUACAACAGAUGCUCCAUUUUUAAUCUUUUGAGAAUAAUUUUCAACACGUAAAACACCAGUUAAGCAUUCAGGUUAUGGAAAUCUCUCAAUAAUUACAGAAAACAGAUUUUCAGAACUAAGUAGAUGGAUUUGAACAGAUGCUUUGUUUUCAAAAUUUUACCUAAUAAGUUGUAAUUUUUUCUUUCACUAGAAUGUACCCAAUCAACAUACUGCUAUUGAAUAGCAUUCCCUACUGGUACAAAUUAGCCUGGGGUCAACAGAGGAAGAAAUGGUCAAUGGCUAUUUCCAGGGUUAAGGGUUGCAAAGCCAAGAGCAACUGAAAAAAUUAUGUAAUGAGUGAAUUAGGUUGAGUACAGUGCUAAAAUGGCUGACAGCAGAGUCAUGACUGGGUAGGGACAGAAAUGAGACCAAGUAGAGUGCGCAUGAUGGGCCAGGAAAGAUGGAAGGAGAAGUGGCUGUGUUCAAAUAAGAGAACUUUAGAGUAUUGAAGGUGUAAGAGUUUCAAGUGAUCUGCACUGGCAAUCUGCACUGGUAAUCACUGAAUCUAGGGAAUCCAUGAGAGGCUUGAGUCAAAGUUGACCCUCAGGGUUUGAACUUAGGUGGCUGGGCUCAUUAUUAUUAGAGAUAGAGAAGGUAAAAAGAAUAACAUGCUUUGGAGGGAAAACAGACACAACCCUGUGCUGGGAUGAAUACUAAAGAUGGUAUAAAAUUCAAUGCCUGUUCUUAGCUUUUUGUAAACAAGUGACAAAUGGAUAUGAUAGCACUGGUUUUUAUUUUGCAUUCCUUCUUCUCAAGUCGCCUGAACACAAAACUUUCCAUUCCCAUGGAUUCAAUAAGAGAAGAUUCUAUUUUAAGACCUCAAGAGCAGCGGCAUUUUACCCUUCUGUUUGAUGGGUCACUUCAGGACAGCCAUUCAAAUCCCUCAUGUUCAGUGUCACAAUCAUCUGUAUAAAGCAACCACUGCAUGACUGCUUCAAAGACAUUCGUGGAGGCUACUAUCUGCUCAGGGGAAGAAAAGCUUUCUCAGAGAAAACUACACAUUCCUCCUUGAGGUCAUUUUUGUUAGGAAACAGGUCUGACAAGGCUCCACUGAUACUAACUCAACCUGCCAUACCGGGGUACAGUUAUCUAAAGAUGACAAGGAAUUUCUCUGGACAGUAAAAAUUGUGAAGUGAUUGCCAGAGGCCUGGUUUGCUGACAUUGAUCAAGGUCAGGUUUAUGUAUUUGAAGUAGGAAUGGAAGAAGCAUUUUUCAUUUAUAGCAGUCAUGCAAAUUAGGUCUAUAGUCCAGGGGCUUACAUUGAACUAAGCCAUGGGCAAGAGAGUUUCUAUCAAAACAUUCCAGCGUUCUGGCAGUUUAUGUAGGCCCAGAUACAUUCUGUAAAAUCAGUGUCAAAACAGCCAAGGUGGAUGAAAUGGCAGUGGAACAUAAGACUGCAUGUGGGCUAGUAGAUUAUUGCUCUUUCGUGUUUUUAUUUUCCCUAAUCAAUUUAGAUGGAUAUCUAAGGUAUCAGGAAUAUAAUUUUAUAUUCUUUGAUACUGUAAUAUUAUACCUCAAAGGCACCCUCUCCUGGCCUGUUUCUUCUUUUGUGCAUUCAUCUAUUCAUUUACCCAAACAUCUUGGAAGGGUCCAUUAGGUUCCAAGUGACAUGC
rnacentral:lncRNA from 1 species